rnacentral:rRNA from 1 species
CCGACAGCUUGCUGUUGGUGGAUGAGUGGCGAACGGGUGAGUAACACGUGAGUAACCUGCCCCUGAUUUCGGGAUAAGCCUGGGAAACUGGGUCUAAUACCGGAUACGACCACCUGACGCAUGUCGGGUGGUGGAAAGUUUUUCGAUCGGGGAUGGGCUCGCGGCCUAUCAGCUUGUUGGUGGGGUAAUGGCCUACCAAGGCGACGACGGGUAGCCGGCCUGAGAGGGCGACCGGCCACACUGGGACUGAGACACGGCCCAGACUCCUACGGGAGGCAGCACUGGGGAAUAUUGCACAAUGGGGGAAACCCUGAUGCAGCGACGCAGCGUGCGGGAUGACCGCCUUCGGGUUGUAAACCGCUUUCAGCAGGGAAGAAGCGAAAGUGACGGUACCUGCAGAAGAAGUACCGGCUAACUACGUGCCAGCAGCCGCGGUAAUACGUAGGGUACGAGCGUUGUCCGGAAUUAUUGUGCGUAAAGAGCUCGUAAGUGGUUGGUCACCUCUGCUG